UCCAUAUCACGCUGAAACAUCAAUUAUCGUACGAGCUCCGAAGUUAAGUAAGGUCGUGCUUGGUCAGUAACUAGAUGGGUGUCCGCUUGGGAAUACCAAAUGCUGUA